UACAGACACCCAAACAGUGAAGACCAAAGAAGUAUAUGCAUCAAAGACUUAAAACCUACAACAACCAGAAUGUACAGUUACUGUCACUAUGCUUGCCAAUCUCUUCUCUCUUAUCAUUAUUAUUUCUUAUCAUGCUGCAACUGCAGCAGAGGAAGCCUAACCUGAUGCUUGUCUGGCCAGUCUAUGGUUAAAGCAUUUUCUAAGCCUCACUUCAGUCUCCUGCUUAUGUGAGGGCAUCUCAUUUGCUUGGAGAAGGAAGAAAUGCUGGUUGUUUUAGGACCCCAGUUCUGAGCUUUCUAAUCCUAACACAACUUAGUGUUUUUUGGUAACAGCUUAAUGCCCCAAAGCUAAGAAUGCUCCUUUGUUGGAUGUGUAUCACAGGAUUUGUAUGUGUACUAUGUAACCAGUGUCACUAUCUUCUCUUCAGCAGAAGACUUACUAGAAAAGAUGCAGGAUUUUUGCUAGGUGAGACUGCACAUCCUCAAGCUACAUGUGACCAGACAGGAAAAGCAAGAGAGGGGAAAGCUACACUUGCCAAGUCCAGUCAAGUGGAUCUCUGCAUGCUCUUCCACCCUUCCUAUUGUUGGCAAGGACAAGUUACGGUCAUGGAGUAGGCGGGAAAGAAAUGUUGGGGGGUGGCAAGGGAGGCUGCAUCAACAUGAGGCGUCUGCCUGUCACAUGGCAGGGCUAGUGCCAUUACCAUAAGCAAAUGCAGUAGCAACUACUGUUUGUGUGCCAAACAUUUGCUUUCUCACAAGCUAAAAAAGUCCUUUUUUUUUUGAUAAAGGGCCUUUUCUUGGUUCCUGACUCUGGGGUUAAAACAGGGGCCUGUAACUAGAAUGGCAUGAAAGAGAUUUUGUUUUCCACUUCACUUACUAAUUUUUCUUCUUCUUUUCGUUGUUUGGCCUCUUCUAGUUUCCUUCUCCUUUCUGCUCGUUGAGCUGCUCUCUCCUCCAUAGCUACAGCAACAGAGGACAUAAGGCUUAUUGGAAAUGAGCUACAGGAUAAUGUCAGAAGUCUGGUUAACUGCUUCACUGCCAGACCCCCACUGACCUGGCAAUGCCGGCACAAAGGAACUUGCUUUCUGCUGUCUCUUAUAGCUGGCAGUGUCACGAACAAAGAACCCAUAAACAUUUAUGAGAUGACUCAAGACUACUUCAGUUACAUUCAUUCCAACCUCCUCCAUGGCUGAUAGGCACAGCCAUGAGGCUCAGUUACAAAAGGAGCUGUGUUCAGAGGUUUUAUCCCUGUCUUCCCUGAUUGAGUCCUGAGGUUCAGGGCACCUGAUUUAGCAGCAAUUGCUUCGAGGUCUCCAGUAAGCUCUAACUGCUUAUUUAAAGAGUGACUGCACAAUGGGAAGUAUCCCUGCCACAGUGACACACAGGUACUUCAUCCCACUAGUGAGAAACUACAGCUUAAUGCUUCUUCUGGGAGAUAAAUUGUAAUGCAGUGAUCUUGCUGGCUGUCAGCAAAGGUGCUGCAGUGCUGAUGUGACCACACAGAACAUGCAGUGGUGUUGAGAACCCAUGAUCACUUCUUCUGAAGUCACAAAGCACAGGCUGGAGCAAUUGAUAACUGGAGGGCACUGAAGUGAACAUGGAUUAAGGAUGCAUCCUUGCAAAGGAGCUGAGUAGCCAGAGCUGCUGCAUGUUCUGAAAUGCUGAGGCCAGCUUAAGAAGUGACCAGCAGGAUGAGUGAGGUGGUUCUCUCCCUCUGCUCUCAUGAGACCCCAUCUGGAGUACUGUGUCCAAUUCUGGUGCCCCCAACACAAGGACCUCAAAAUGUUGGAGUGGAUGGAGAGGAGGGCCAUGAAGAUGAUCAAAUGGCUGCAGCACCUCCCUGAUGAGGAUAGACUGUGAAAGUUGGGGUUGUGCAGUCUGGAGAAGUUUCCAGGGAGACCUUAUAGCAACCUUCCAGUACCUGAAGGGUGUCUGCAAGUAAGCUGGGGAGGACUUAUUACAAGGGCCUGUAGUGACAGGAUGAGAGGGAAUGGAUUCAAGCUGGAGGAGGGCAGAUUUAGACUGGAUAUCAGGAAGAAAUUCUUUACAGUGAGGGUGGUGAUACUCUGGAACAGACUGUCCAAGGAUGUUGUGAGUACUCCUUCCCUGGUGUGCUAGUUUGAAGUUAGCUAGAAUGUUUUGGUGAGAAGAACUAUCUUACAGGCUGUGAAAGGAAAACAAUGGUGAUGUCUGCUUCCCUCAGUGUCUUGCUAAGGAGUAUGGGAAGACGAAACGAAAACAUUAGAUAACACUCUCGCCAUUUUAUCUCACUCUCACUUGGGUUGCUGGCUGAGCAACAUCUUACUCCCUAACCUCACCUUCAUUUGGCCUAACCCACUUUGCUUCUUAAUCUCUUGGCCAAACCUCUAUUCUUCCUUGGGACUGGGGUAAGGUUGAGAGGGGCAGGGGGAAGG